UCCUGGCUCAGAUUGAACGCUGGCGGCAUGCCUUACACAUGCAAGUCGAACGGUAACAGGCCGCAAGGUGCUGACGAGUGGCGAACGGGUGAGUAAUACGAUCGGAACGUGCCCGAUCGUGGGGGAUAACGGAGCGAAAGCUUUGCUAAUACCGCAUACGAUCUACGGAUGAAAGCAGGGGACCGCAAGGCCUUGCGCGGACGGAGCGGCCGAUGGCAGAUUAGGUAGUUGGUGGGAUAAAAGCUUACCAAGCCGACGAUCUGUAGCUGGUCUGAGAGGACGACCAGCCACACUGGGACUGAGACACGGCCCAGACUCCUACGGGAGGCAGCAGUGGGGAAUUUUGGACAAUGGGCGAAAGCCUGAUCCAGCCAUGCCGCGUGCAGGAUGAAGGCCUUCGGGUUGUAAACUGCUUUUGUACGGAACGAAAAGACUCUGGUUAAUACCUGGGGUCCAUGACGGUACCGUAAGAAUAAGCACCGGCUAACUACGUG
rnacentral:rRNA from 1 species